rnacentral:lncRNA from 1 species
AUGGUUUUGUUUGUGUUAUUUUUUUUUUUCCUUCUUUUUGUUCUUUUCUUGCUUUUGUUUUUGAGAAAUAUGUCAAAGAAAGGUACGGACAGCAAAGGGCUUCCCACGCCAGCGCCCGGCCAGCCCUGGGGCUGGGUCUUGUCCCAGUUUGUUCACACGUGCUGCAGGAAUGCUCCCCGUGCGCCGCUCAGGGGCUGUGGGUCCCCCUGUGGGACCUCCCAGAGCCCGCCAGUGCCCGCAGCCGGCCGAAUCCUGCUCCCCACAGCACCUGCCCCGCAGGGGACAGCACUUGCCCAGAGCUGGAGCUGCUUCCCUUUGCAUAUUCACCUUCUUUGUGGAUUUGUAGGCUCGCCGUUUGUACCCAACACUCGUUAUUAAGUCUAAAGGGAAAAGCAACCCCAACGGAAGCCACCCGCUGCGUCCCUGCUCUGGCUCACAGGAGACCCGGGAGGAAGACGCAGCAGUGAGGGACAGUGAACGGACAUGGCAGCAGUUUAGACACGGUUUAAUAGCUCAGACCUGCUUUUUGUCUUCCCUCCUCGCUUUUUCAGUCCCUCUGCCCACCACGCCAAGAAAGAAACCACUUUCAGGAAGGCUGGAAGUCGGAUGGUUCCAGGACAGGAGUCACCAGCAGCCACAAACGGGACACAGAGCAGCUUGUGAAAGGCUUCGGGGCUUCGGCAUCACGUCUGCCCCUUCCGAGGCCGCCCGGCUGCCGCUGCUCGCUUUCAGGCUCAUCGCUGCUCUCCGUGGAAAGCUGCCGUUCUGCUUGCACUGCUUGUGAAGCCCCUGGGCUGGGUUCAGCAGCGCAGUGAUCGCAUGGCCCAGGGGGCACUGCAGGAGGACAAGGUCAGGAAAUUUCCCAGUCAGGACCAGGCGCGAGCGGUGCCACGGGGCUGGUCCCAGCUGCCCCCUGCCUGGCGGUGCCGGCGAUGCCGUGAGUCAAAGCCUUCAGUGACUGAGAUCUCAAAUAGCAAACCGUAACGGAGACGCAUGAAGUGCUGAUUUAGGGUCAGAGGAGAGGGGAGAGAGCAGGUUAACCUGCAAGGUCUUGCUGGCGGAUAGCACUAGUGGUUCCGGCCGCUCACCUGGUGCUCUGGGAUGUUGGUGAGUAAAAUGAGAUCGAACUGGCGUCAGAGAUGAUCAAAGGGUAUUUAUGGUGGUAGUGAUAUUUACUUAUGUAAAAAGAAUCUGCCGAGAAGCCAAAUGGUUUUCAGUGGUGUUUUACUCUCAGGACAUUUAAAGCCAGUUUCAGGCUUUGUUUUUAUCUCUGGCGUGAUUGUAAAAAUCCCUUUCUAAGAGCUUAGAAAUCUGCAAAGACAACGUAACCUCUGCUGCUCCGACAAGCCUAAGGAUUGGCAAAGAAGUACGGAAAAUAUGUCAUUAGCUUUGGGAAACAGCCACGUUCCCCAAUCCGUCCUCUGCUGUAGGUGUUUGGUCAGCAAACUGUGAAGAUGAUGAUGCACGUUGAGUUGGCAGCUUUCAACUCUGAUUUUUCAUGGUUCCUAUGAAAAGGUGAAAAUAAAUGUAAAUCCUUUGCAUAUCUUUACGUGAAUCACAAUAUGACAAAUCCAGCUUUUUUUGUUUUGGGUCACUGUGUUUGUUCUUUACAUCAUGAAAAGACGACAUAAGGACAAAUUGUGGUCUGUGAUGGGGGGGAAAAAGCAGAGAUCUCCCCUUCAGCUCAUUUGCUAAUUCUGAUCAGCUCCAAAGAUAGCCUUCAAAUAACUGAGACUGAGAAGGAAACAGGUGGGAAAAACCCCUGAACUGGGCUGCAGGCAGGUUUGUCCCUUGGGGCCCAGACAAACCCUGCAGAAAGCCUUGUGGCUCGGGGCGUGGGGGUGUCCAGCAGCAGGGCGCUGUCACGUCUGCCAGGGAAGGAGGUUGCUCUUCUCAUCAACGCCCAUGUUUGAAGCAGAGCUUUUAAGCACCUUGCAGUACUCCUCAGGACGAUCUGGGUUUCCACGGGCAGGGCUGUUUCUGUUGGUUUUGUUUUGCAGAGGGCUGGGGAGAAAUUAAUCCGCAGAGGGACGAAGCGGCGCGGCGGCACUCGAGCC